UACACACACACACACACAUCAUUUUUAACUUAUUUUUUUUUUGGAGAAUUGCGCCAUAUUAUUUUUAUUAAAUAACAAUUCGAGAAGAAAGUUCAUGUCUGUAUUAGGGAACUUAAUAAAAAUUAAAGCCGUGACUUUUUUGGCGGUACAGUCAGAUGUCAAAUGUUAUCCAUUGAAGCACACGUUGCAGUUACUUACAAAAUAACUGAGGUGCUCACAAUAAGGGUAAAAUAACUUUCGUAUUAGCUUCAGAAAUCGGUUUGCGCGCCAAGACAUGUGUGCAAACCGAUUUCCGAAGCUAGAAAAUUAGACGGCAAAAGAUUUAAAAAAAUAUAUGAAAUCUGAGUGUUAUACGAUCUAGAUAUUAUAUCAAAACCAAAAAAAAAUGAAAAAAAAGAUUGUUUGAUAAGCAGAUUUUAGUGUUGUAGGCCGGAUGAAUGUCUGUCAUCCGGAGAAAAUAACACGAAAAAAAGCGGGACAAAAAUAUAUAUACAAAAAAAAGAAGAAAGAAAAAACAAAUGAAUAAUAAUGCCAAGUAGGAUGGUAACGUUUUACAAGCCGAGAAUACGAGCUACACGAAAGAAUAA